GGCCCGAAACCUGCCUCCGGCCGGGCAGGGGAGCCGCAUGGCUCCGCGCCGAGCGGAAGUGGUCCGCGCACCACCUCCCGGAGCUGGCCGUGCGCGCUCGGGCUCCCGGGCAGGCCGCGCGUGCCAAAGGAGGGCGGUGGCGUCCCGCCAUGCAGCUCCCGGAGAACGCCACUCCGCGCGGCCCCCCGGCCCUAGUGACCAUUGUCCUCCCGGUGCACAAUGCCGAGCAGUGGCUGGAGGAGUGCUUGAUGUCUGUUUUACAGCAGGACUUUGACGGCACCAUGGAGCUCUCGGUUUUUAAUGAUGCCAGCAAGGACAAGUCGAGAACCAUCAUUGAAAACUGGAAGGUAAAACUGGAGGAUUCCGGCAUCUCUGUCGUCACUGGAGGCCAUGACUCUCCUUCUCCCAGAGGAGUUGGAUAUUCUAAAAACCAAGCGAUUGCACAGAGCACAGGGUCUUAUCUUUGCUUUUUGGAUUCAGAUGAUGUUAUGAUGCCCCAGAGAGUGAGGCUACAAUAUGAAGCUGCUGUUCAGCACCCAACGAGUAUUAUAGGAUGUCAAGUGAGGAGGGACCCGCCAGACUCCACAGAGCGAUACACACGUUGGAUCAACCAGUUGACUUCCGAUCAGCUGCUUACACAGGUGUUCACCUCCCAUGGCCCCACGGUGAUCAUGCCUACCUGGUUCUGCUCACGAGCCUGGUUCUCCCACGUGGGCCCAUUUGAUGAAGGAGGACAGGGGGUUCCAGAGGAUCUUCUAUUCUUUUAUGAGCACCUCAGGAAAGGGGGCGGCGUCUUCCGGGUGGACCAGCACCUGCUCCUCUACCGAUACCACCUGUGUGCAGCUACACACUCAGUCCUGGAAAUGACCAUCUGGACCCAUCGUGUCCACUUCCUGGAGGAACAAGUCCUGCCUCACUGGAAGUCCUUCACCAUCUGGAAUGCAGGCAAGCAGGGGCGUAGGUUAUACCGCAGCCUGACCGCAGCCAGCCGGCGCAAGGUGGUGGCCUUCUGUGACGUUGAUGAGAACAAGAUCAGGAAGGGCUUCUACUGCCAUGAGGACUCUCAGGAAAGACCCAAGCCGAAGGUCCCCAUUCUGCAUUUCCAAGCUGCCCGGCCGCCGUUUGUCAUCUGUGUGAAGUUGGACCUCACAGGGGGCCAGUUUGAAGACAACCUGAAGUCACUGCACCUGCAGGAAGGCCAGGACUUUGUUCACUUCAGCUGAGACUGCCACCCAGGUGGGUCUACACUGCAGCACCUCUGCAGGCUCUAAGCCCUGUUGUCUGCCUUGCUUCCCCUUCACAGACAACUUUCAUCCCUACAGACAGACAGCCUCAAAACAGGAAGAGAGCCCAAGGUAUCAACAGAUCGAAGCUUUCACAACUUAACAUGCAACCUCAGCACGAGGGCUCUAGAAACACAGCAAGGCCAAGACAGCACAGGCAGCCAAGAAGGCCCCAGUGGGACAGGAGUCCAUGAAGGCGGCACAGGUGUCCUUGGAGGGAGACAGCCCCUUACAGGACGUAUACAUCCAGGCAGGGUAUGAGGAGGGCGCCAACGCCGCCUGCCACACAGGGGAAGCUUCUUUCCCAGAAGACAGACGCUGAGACAGCACGGGGCCUCCAACAGCUGACUACCCAGCACCACACUGUGAGGACAGAACCUGCCCCCUCUGGAGAAACAGCACUCCCAGCUGGUCUGGAAAAGUUCACAGCCGAGAUGAAUACUGACCGUGGGACCCAAAGCUCAGAGCAGAUGACACAGGUGCCAUAUGUCCUCAGAAUCCUAGAGUAUUACCUUUGGAACGAGCUGAGGUCUGGGCACGCCAAGGAGGUCACACAGGUGAUUCCGUUGCUCUCUUACAACUGGAAGCUCUGCAUCCCUAAAGAGGAAAGCAUCUGAGUGCCCCGUGGCACAUGGUCCAGCUCCCCCACCCCAUGAGAUCUGGUGAUGUUGGAGCAAAAAACCCUACCCCCAGUGUAGACACCAAGAAAACCUCUUUCACAGGACUAAGCCACACCCUGUUUUAGGGGCUCACCCAGAAGAAAUUCUACCUCAGGCUAAAGCCUCUGCAGCUCUACGUAUUCAGCCAUCGCUUGCUUUCAUUAGAAGACGUAAUGCGGCUGAAAGGUACUGUGCAUGGCUUCUUUUGUAUGUAAAGACGUUAUAAGGGCAGCUCCUCUAUAAACCAGGUACUGUGCUCUGGAGGAGUAGAGUUCCCAGCACCUACAGGGGGCAACUCACAGCCAUCUGCAACCUCAGCUCCAGGGGAACUAGACACCCUUUUCUGGCCUCCAUAGGCAACUGCACUCACAUGCACACAAGCCCUGACACACAUGCAUACACGUUAUUAAGCACAAAGAAGUUCCUCUCAUCCCUGAUGUCCUUACUCAGGAUGAGUGUGCAGGUGGACAUGUAGAUAGAACAUUGUAUUCAGAAUAAAGAAACCUUUUUCUAAAAAAAAUGUUGGAAGCAAUGUCCACUGUCUCCCCAGAAGGCACUGAGCAGAGGUCCUACUGGCAGAAAAAGUGAGCUCUGCGCUUCCCGGUCACAGCUCUCAUCUAGGCAGGAAGGCCACAUCCUAGCAUGAGUUCCUAGGGAUGUCACUGUUCCGAGGGGCGGGCGUGAGUAACACAAGCCCUGACUUGCGGAAGCAACCCGGUCAAUCCCGGCACGUCUGCCAGCACUCUCCCUCUAGCAGUCUGAGGGACAGUGUCCACAGGCAGUGGCAAUAACCUGGGCCACCUGCCUGCGCCUCUCAAAUAGUGUGUCUAGAACGGGACAGGCCAGCUUGAAGCACACCUGUGCACAAGCGACAGUUCUGUGGGUAUGUGCACAUACACAUGACUGUGGGUUUACAUCAGCAGCUUCAUGUAUGUCAUCUGCAAACCUGCGGAUAAAUGCAUGCAGGACCAUGCAUGUGCACUGCCUGGAUCACAGGUCAUAAGUCCUUGCUGUUGUGACCACAGCUGUUUCCCGGCCCAGCCUAGAACCUGUGACCCACACCAACGGGCUGUACUCCCCCACCCACUCCUGCACCUCUUGACUUUGGAGACAAGUCUCUGAGGCUGUUAAAACGGAAGAGACCACACAGGCCUUGUGGUUGCUGACAUCCGCUUGGUGGCUUCUGCUGGCCUUACACUCGUUACUGAGGACCACCACCUUCUGACAAGCGGAAGUGUUAACCACCCUAGCCACCUUGCUCACAAGAGGAGAAAAGCAAUUGCACACUGAACAUUUUCCCGCCUGAAGCUCCCAGAGUGUGUCCUCAAGCCUUUGUGAAGCUGUGAGGUAGCCCCGAGCCGCUGAGUGUCGGGGAGGUCUCCCCUCUCAGCAGAAGCGACGGGGCUCAGGCAGGCCCACUUACCAGGCUGUGUCGCUGAGCACAGACAUGGCCUCGUCAAGCACAGCAGGGUCUACCAAGUCACUGUAGGUCAGCACCAUCUCAUACACCUGGCUCGCUGUGGUCUUCCGGAUCUGCAGCAAGAUCAGCAGGUCAACAGGAGGAAACCCAUCACCACCUGGGAAGCCCCACGGGGGUCUUAGGAAGGUCCAUGAAAGGAGGAAAAAGACUCGGCCCCAGCCCAGAUCCUGCUGCCAUCACAGACAUGCGGCAGAGAGGAGGGACCUCGGCCUUUGUCAGAAGUGCAGUACGGACUCCUCCAAGGGAAUCUGUCUAUCUUGCUGUCUUUUCUGGUUUAUGUCCUGUGACAAACUACUUCGUAUGAGGUCUGAUCUACCUCUAGUAAUGUACAUCUCUAGCAAACACGGUAAGCCAUGCGGUCAUCCACUCUGUCUCAAAAACCCACUGUAAAGGUCCCUGACUCUUUUAAGAGUUCUUGGGUAAAAGAGGAGAAUCCUGACCCUGCCCUGUUAGGAUCAUAAUACCCUACCCUCAGCAAUGCGUCUCUACCCAGUGCCAGCACCCACAUUCCAUUCCUACCAACACCAGCCAGUUGAUGGCCGAAUCCCAGGGCUGCCUACGCCUGCAAACCAUCCCCACAGGCGCAUCAUCUCAGCCUGUUCAUUUCUAAAGUCACUGUUAAAGGCCACGCAGAUCUGGGUCCUAGGCAGAUGGCCUUGAGGUAGGGCAGGCACACUCACCACGGGAAAAGGGUGGCCAAGGAGAAGGAACAGCUGCAGAAGAACCUUCUUUCUCACAUCACCGCUGAACUGCACCAUUCCACAGAGCCUAAGGGAGACCCAAAAAGGACACAGUAACCCUUGAGUCCUGUGCCAAUAUGCGCAUACCUCUAUAUCCACACGUGCGCUGUGCGCUAGUGUGCUCCGUGUGACCUACAGUCAUGUGUGCACACGUGCUCCCCUAUACACGAGAUCGGGUGCUGGCCAGUGUGCGCCUGUGUGUCCAGACUCAAACACUCUCCUGUGCGCAUGUUUGUAUACCUCACGUGAUUGCUCCAGUUUCCUGUGCCCGUGUGUACGUGCCCAUGUCCCAGAUCCCUACACUAGCAUAGGUGUAUCAGAGCCUAUGAUGGCCUUUGGGCAGCUACAGGGCCAGCAAGGCUCCUGAGCAAGUGACAAAUGGAGACCCAGCUUUCCUGUUCUGAUCCGUAGCCGCCACUGCUGACGGUAACGGUCUGCCCUUUCCUUCUCUAAAUGAGCACUCCCACACUCCCUUUUUAAGCAGCUUUGUGAUUAAACUCUAUCUUCCACCAGGAA